rnacentral:rRNA from 1 species
UUUGGACGAGGGGCCCCUCUCGGGUUACCGAAUUCAGACAAACUCCGAAUGCCAAUUAAUUUAACUUGGGAGUCAGAACAUGGGUGAUAAGGUCCGUGUCCGAAAGGGAAACAGCCCAGACCACCAGCUAAGGUCCCAAAAUAUAUGUUAAGUGGAAAAGGAUGUGGCGUUGCCCAGACAACUAGGAUGUUGGCUUAGAAGCAGCCAUCAUUUAAAGAGUGCGUAAUAGCUCACUAGUCGAGUGACACUGCGCCGAAAAUGUACCGGGGCUAAACAUAUUACCGAAGCUGUGGAUUGUCCUUUGGACAAUGGUAGGAGAGCGUUCUAAGGGCGUUGAAGCAUGAUCGUAAGGACAUGUGGAGCGCUUAGAAGUGAGAAUGCCGGUGUGAGUAGCGAAAGACGGGUGAGAAUCCCGUCCACCGAUUGACUAAGGUUUCCAGAGGAAGGCUCGUCCGCUCUGGGUUAGUCGGGUCCUAAGCUGAGGCCGACAGGCGUAGGCGAUGGAUAACAGGUUGAUAUUCCUGUACCACCUAUAAUCGUUUUAAUCGAUGGGGGGACGCAGUAGGAUAGGCGAAGCGUGCGAUUGGAUUGCACGUCUAAGCAGUAAGGCUGAGUAUUAGGCAAAUCCGGUACUCGUUAAGGCUGAGCUGUGAUGGGGAGAAGACAUUGAGUCUUCGAGUCGUUGAUUUCACACUGCCGAGAAAAGCCUCUAGAUAGAAAAUAGGUGCCCGUACCGCAAACCGACACAGGUAGUCAAGAUGAGAAUUCUAAGGUGAGCGAGCGAACUCUCGUUAAGGAACUCGGCAAAAUGACCCCGUAACUUCGGGAGAAGGGGUGCUCUUUAGGGUUAACGCCCAGAAGAGCCGCAGUGAAUAGGCCCAAGCGACUGUUUAUCAAAAACACAGGUCUCUGCUAAACCGUAAGGUGAUGUAUAGGGGCUGACGCCUGCCCGGUGCUGGAAGGUUAAGAGGAGUGGUUAGCUUCUGCGAAGCUACGAAUCGAAGCCCCAGUAAACGGCGGCCGUAACUAUAACGGUCCUAAGGUAGCGAAAUUCCUUGUCGGGUAAGUUCCGACCCGCACGAAAGGCGUAACGAUUUGGGCACUGUCUCAACGAGAGACUCGGUGAAAUCAUAGUACCUGUGAAGAUGCAGGUUACCCGCGACAGGACGGAAAGACCCCGUGGAGCUUUACUGUAGCCUGAUAUUGAAAUUCGGCACAGCUUGUACAGGAUAGGUAGGAGCCUUUGAAACGUGAGCGCUAGCUUACGUGGAGGCGCUGGUGGGAUACUACCCUAGCUGUGUUGGCUUUCUAACCCGCACCACUUAUCGUGGUGGGAGACAGUGUCAAGCGGGCAGUUUGACUGGGGCGGUCGCCUCCUAAAAGGUAACGGAGGCGCUCAAAGGUUCCCUCAGAAUGGUUGGAAAUCAUUCAUAGAGUGUAAAGGCAUAAGGGAGCUUGACUGCGAGACCUACAAGUCGAGCAGGGUCGAAAGACGGACUUAGUGAUCCGGUGGUUCCGCAUGGAAGGGCCAUCGCUCAACGGAUAAAAGCUACCCCGGGGAUAACAGGCUUAUCUCCCCCAAGAGUUCACAUCGACGGGGAGGUUUGGCACCUCGAUGUCGGCUCAUCGCAUCCUGGGGCUGUAGUCGGUCCCAAGGGUUGGGCUGUUCGCCCAUUAAAGCGGUACGCGAGCUGGGUUCAGAACGUCGUGAGACAGUUCGGUCCCUAUCCGUCGUGGGCGUAGGAAAUUUGAGAGGAGCUGUCCUUAGUACGAGAGGACCGGGAUGGACAUACCUCUGGUGUACCAGUUGUCGUGCCAACGGCAUAGCUGGGUAGCUAUGUGUGGACGGGAUAAGUGCUGAAAGCAUCUAAGCAUGAAGCCCCCCUCAAGAUGAGAUUUCCCAACUUCGGUUAUAAGAUCCCUCAAAGAUGAUGAGGUUAAUAGGUUCGAGGUGGAAGCAUGGUGACAUGUGGAGCUGACGAAUACUAAUCGAUCGAAGACUUAAUCAA